CCCCUUUUAAAAGCACUCAGUGGGCCUUUGCUAGUGACCCGCUGAGCUGUCAAGAAGGGGCAGAGCCAAAACAUCACUUUUGGGUGAAGUGGCCAUGUGUGUUGUUUGCUGCAGUCAGUGCUAUGACAAGA
rnacentral:snoRNA from 1 species